CCUACGGGUGGCAGCAGUGGGGAAUAUUGCGCAAUGGGGGAAACCCUGACGCAGCAACGCCGCGUGCAGGAAGAAGGUCUUCGGAUUGUAAACUGUUGUCGCAGGGGAAGAAGACAGUGACGGUACCCUGUGAGAAAGUCACGGCUAACUACGUGCCAGCAGCCGCGGUAAUACGUAGGUGGCAAGCGUUAUCCGGAUUUACUGGGUGUAAAGGGAGCGUAGACGGCAGCGCAAGUCUGGAGUGAAAUGCCGGGUCCCAACCCCGGAACUGCUCUGGAAACUGUGAAGCUGGAGUGCAGGAGAGGUAAGCGGAAUUCCUGUUGUAGCGGUGAAAUGCGUAGAUAUCAGGAGGAACACCGGCGGCGAAGGCGGCUUACUGGACUGUAACUGACGUUGAGGCUCGAAGGCGUGGGGAGCAAACAGGAUUAGAUACCCUGGUAGUC
rnacentral:rRNA from 1 species